rnacentral:rRNA from 1 species
GUCCACGCCCUAAACGAUGUCAACUGGUUGUUGGACGGCUUGCUGUUCAGUAACGAAGCUAACGCGUGAAGUUGACCGCCUGGGGAGUACGGCCGCAAGGUUGAACUCAAGGAAUUGACGGGACCCGCACAAGCGGUGGAUGAUGUGGUUUAAUUCGAUGCAACGCGAAAACCUUAACCUACCCUUGACAUGUCUGGAAUUUGCAGAGAUGUGAAAGUGCUCGAAAGAGAGCCAGAACACAGGUGCUGCAUGGCCGUCGU